GCAAACCCCCCUUCCCUUUGGAAGAAGACGAAACGCAAAGACUUGGGUCUGCCCAAUCUCUCUCUCUCGUGUUCAGAGUCGUUCAUUUGAAGUAUUUGAAGCUUUCAACACGGGAUCGAGGCAUCUUCCGCGUCCGGCGAAGGCAAAGAAGAAGGAAAGAUGCCUAAUUGGGAGCUCAAGAACUGCUGCGACCACGACCAGGUCGCCUUCAUCGUCACCAUCGGCGUCUUCACCUUCGUCAUCCUCGCCCUGUGGAGGACGGUGCUGCUCACACCUUUCAAGCUCAUCACGGUGUUCCUACACGAGACGAGUCAUGCCCUCGCCUGCAAGUUAACAUGCGGUGAUGUUGAGGGCAUACAAGUGCAUGCAAACGAGGGUGGAGUCACACAAACUCGUGGUGGCAUCUAUUGGAUCAUUUUGCCAGCUGGAUAUCUUGGCUCAUCAUUUUGGGGAAUGGUCUUCAUUCUUGCAUCUACGAAUCUUAUUACGACAAGAAUUGCAGCUGGUUGCUUUCUACUUGCAUUGGUUGUCGUGCUAUUUGUUGCCAAAAAUUGGUUGCUUCGAGGACUCUGUAUAGGUUUCAUUAUAUUUAUUGCCAUUAUUUGGCUUCUGCAAGAAACUACAAAAGUCCAUAUUCUUCGAUAUGUCAUUCUGUUUAUCGGUGUCAUGAACAGCUUAUUUUCAGUCUAUGAUAUCUAUGAUGAUUUAAUAUCUCGAAGAGUUCACUCAAGUGAUGCUGAGAAAUUUGCUGAAAUCUGUCCUUGCCCUUGCAAUGGUGUUGCAUGGGGGGUUAUUUGGGGAUUAAUAUCAUUUACAUUUCUUUGCGGAUCCAUUUACCUUGGUCUGGUUAUUCUGUCUUGAGGUUUUGUGGAUUUGUGUAGAUUCUGAUUUGCUCAGAUUUCCUGGAUUCAUGUAGAUUCUGAUUUGCUUAGGUUUCAUCAAUUCAUGUCGAUUGAACACAUUGUUCUUAUCAGAUUGCCAUCAAAUUGGAAACAGCCUUAGAUUCUUGUGGCAUCAUCUUUUCUGGAGCUUCGAGUCGCAGCUGCUCUGAUGCAUGUCCAUGUUGUUGCAUUGAGAAACUUGCUGAUGAGUUUCUUGACAACAUAGAUGUUUCAUUUGUGCAGCACAGCAACUCAUUGUUUUCAACCUCUGUACCAACAUUUAACUAAUCUUUCAUUUGUUAUAUUUUUUUGGGCACUUCUUCAUGUCAGUUUUGGUGUUGGAUUUGACAGAUUGGUGACAAAUAGAUAUGCAAAAGAUCAUCUCA